UGCUUUCCUGGGAAACUCGGUACUCGUUGCAUUCGAGCGUGGAUGCACGCACCGCGUCAACAAGUUUUUCACAUUGCACGGUGUUACCUCUAGGAUUGAAAAAAUCGUCACAAUAGAAUUUUCGAUGAUAUAUUCACCAUUACAGAUGUUGUUUGACAAAUUUUAACAACUAAAUAUUGACAUAGUAGAGUUUAGGUGAUUUAUUUGAUUCAAGAUUGGCGAAUUGAAGUAUUCAUUGGCCGUUGCCAAAUUUGCUUUCGCAUUGUAAGGGAAAAUGUAUUUCACAAGCGACAGAAUCCAACUGCUGAGACGUUUGAGUACCGAUACAUUGGAUUCCAGAGUUUACAGUCAAGAAGUGAAAAAAAUCAGCCACACAACAAGCUUUUAUAUGCUAAUAGCUCUAAUUGUAC